GCUGUCCCUACAUAAAAUAUAAAGGUGAGUUUGGAGGAGCUGGGACUGUAAGCAGGAAUCACAGCCCAGCAGCUGUACAGGGUGUCGAAGCAGAUAAUUUGUAUUUCACAACAGUGAAAGAAAGAUGAUCUUUGCGGCCUUUUAUGGAAAUACUUCAGUGUCCCCACAUCUCCACCAGGAACUAAAAGGUAAAGCCAUUUCCUGGAAGACUGAGUGAAAAAUUCCCCCAUCCAAGUCCUGAGGAACGAAUCCUGCACGCAGGGAAAUGCAGAGGGACGGGAUGAGUCAGGGGAGCAGUGUGAAAAUCUUCUGCAGCUGUGCCAGCAAUCCAUGAUGCUGUUCCCAGGACACCGGAGAUUUUUUGUUAAUGCUGUUCUCUUCUUUGAAAAAUUG